rnacentral:lncRNA from 1 species
CCUCCCUUUUCCAUUCAACCCACAGCCACUCGUCGCUUGAUAUCGAUCUUCUCCCUUCGCAUCUCGUUAACUGAGAAGGAGAAUCGUUGGCAUCCACCACUAAAUCGACUGAAGGUGAAGCUGAGGCAUGAAGAGUAAUCUCAAGUUCAACAUCUCAACCACUUAGAGUUUGCAAUCUCAAGUGCCAAUUCUUCAACAAAUUCAUACAUGGUUAUUGAUGCUGAAAAUGCCAAUGAAGAAAAUAACAAUAAUGAAGGGGUUGUUGCAGAU